GUUGAGCCUCAUGGCUCUACUACUGGGCGACGUGGGCGUAAGACUCCUCGAGAGUCAGAUACUCUCGAGGAGCGAGAAAGGAAGCGGCUGCGAGAUAUCUUUGCAGAACCAUCUGACGAGGAUUCUUUUGAGGGGUUUACUGAGAGAAUGGAGGAAGAGAUGGUUAGCUCGGAAGAGGAUGACAUGGAAUGGACUCGUGUAAGGGAGGAUUUGGGUGCCACUGGCAAUGAUAGUAUGGAAGGCGAUUGGGGACCUUCAGGAUUAGACCCGUGGACAAGCUGGAGGGAUGGGACGGGAUCCACAGCUGGGGAUGCUGCGGGGCGUAGUCAAAGGUGUUCCAGUUCUGAUGAGGAAAGUGAUGAGGAAACGCCCGGGCUAAGGAGAACAGCUGAUAGCGAUGAGGACUUGUAACUGGCAUAAAAUGGGGUUUGGGAGCAAUAGCAAAUUGCGUUGGGCAAGGUAAUCUGGACGAACGCUUGGGAUCUGUGUGGGAAGUUUUCCUGAAGACGGGUGUGAUUCGUUUGCUGACUACCUUUGACCUUCCGUCGUCUUCUUGACGGACGCCAUCUGCUUACUCUGGACUUACGGACUGACUGACUACGGCCUCGGAUUCUCCUACCUGUGUCUAUCGUUGGAACUGGUGAACUACAAACGUCUGCAUCGGCCUUACGACCUUCGGAACGGAUUGGGACUUCGCUGACUGCUUCUGCCCUC